rnacentral:rRNA from 1 species
CAGCCAUGCCGCGUGUGUGAAGAAGGCCUUCGGGUUGUAAAGCACUUUCAGUAGGGAGGAAGGUAGUGUAGUUAACACCUGCAUUAUUUGACGUUACCUACAGAAGAAGCACCGGCUAACUCCGUGCCAGCAGCCGCGGUAAUACGGAGGGUGCGAGCGUUAAUCGGAAUUACUGGGCGUAAAGCGCAUGCAGGCGGCCUGUUAAGUCAGAUGUGAAAGCCCGGGGCUUAACCUCGGAAUUGCAUUUGAAACUGGCAGGCUAGAGUCUUGUAGAGGGGGUAGAAUUUCAGGUGUAGCGGUGAAAUGCGUAGAGAUCUGAAGGAAUACCAGUGGCGAAGGCGGCCCCCUGGACAAAGACUGACGCUCAGAUGCGAAAGCGUGGGGAGCCAAACAGGAUUAGAUACCCCUGGUAG